UACGUAGGGUGCGAGCGUUGUCCGGAAUUAUUGGGCGUAAAGGGCUCGUAGGCGGUCUGUCACGUCGAAAGUGAAAACUCAGGGCUUAACCCUGAGCCUGCUUCCGAUACGGGCAGACUAGAGGUAUGCAGGGGAGAACGGAAUUCCUGGUGUAGCGGUGAAAUGCGCAGAUAUCAGGAGGAACACCGGUGGCGAAGGCGGUUCUCUGGGCAGUAACGGACGCUGAGGAGCGAAAGCGUGGGGAGCGAACAGG
rnacentral:rRNA from 1 species